rnacentral:lncRNA from 10 species
GCCCCUGCCUGCAUAAGGAUGAUGCACAGAUUUUUGAAGUGGUCCAUAUUUUGCGCAGUCACUAGAAGUUCAUUUGACUAUUUGCUGACUAGUUCCAAAGACAGUGUGAGUCAAAGCAAACUGGGUAUCACCUAAUAUUAAAAUUGUGAUUUUUCACUACAAAAAUAUGCAGUAAGGUGAUCAAUGGAGCUGAGUAACACGUGGGAUGUUGUGUGCAAAUAUAUUGUCAGUAUGUAUCUCAGAAAUGAGAGAAUGUCAACUUGCAUGUCUUUCAUGGAAC